rnacentral:rRNA from 1 species
AACGAACGCUGGCGGCAGGCCUAACACAUGCAAGUCGAGCGGACAUCUUCGGAUGUUAGCGGCGGACGGGUGAGUAACGCGUGGGAACGUGCCCUUUGCUUCGGAAUAGCCUCGGGAAACUGGGAGUAAUACCGGAUGUACCCUUUGGGGGAAAGAUUUAUCGGCAAAGGAUCGGCCCGCGUUGGAUUAGGUAGUUGGUGGGGUAAUGGCCUACCAAGCCGACGAUCCAUAGCUGGUUUGAGAGGAUGAUCAGCCACACUGGGACUGAGACACGGCCCAGAUUCCUACGGGAGGCGGCAGGGGGGAAUCUUAGACAAUGGAGGAAACCCUGAUCUAGCCAUGCCGCGUGGGCGAUGAAGGCCUUAGGGUUGUAAAGCUCUUUCACCGGGGGAGAUAAUGACGGUACCCGGAGAAGAAGCCCCGGCUAACUCCGUG